rnacentral:sRNA from 1 species
AUAAACUUUUAUUUGCUAACUCCUUAUUUUGUUUGCAUCAUUUUUCUAACUUUAUCUUUUUUCUAAGAUUUGUCUCAUAACUAUUGCAGGAACGCAAAGAGACGAUAAAUUUUUUCAAAAAGAUCACAUCACUUCUCAAAGCCAAGCAAGAACAUUUAAUAACUAGUGAUGGCCUAGAGAAGAAGUUUAUGGUAUUAUCAUAAGUUUUUACUUGCUAACUGAUUGAUUUUAUUAAUGUUAUUUAUUUUUAUGAUUUAUUUUUGCACUCAGCUUGAAAAUGCUGUUAUCUUUUGGCAAUUGGACAAAAAAAUGUUAUAUUGUUUGAGGUCAAAAAGACCUGACAUUAUUCUCAAACCAUAUAAGCAACGCCUAGGUAUAGAUACUAGCGUCAUAUUGACGACUUAGAACAUACACGUUCGUAUAUGGGGGACAUAUAUCGAUGGAAUGAGCAUAUAUCGUCGGCCUGACAAAGAUUUUGAUGAUUUUGAAGCUUUUGUAGCGGUGUCAUUUGAAAUCCUCUCAUCUCACAGUUCCUACAAUCGAAUAGUAAGUAUAAGAAAAUUAAAUAGUAGAGUAACUUUAUUAUUUGAU